rnacentral:rRNA from 1 species
GCUAGCGUUGUUCGGAAUUACUGGGCGUAAAGCGCACGUAGGCGGUGUUCCAUGUCAGAGGUGAAAGCCUGGGGCUCAACUCCAGAAUUGCCUUUGAAACGGGGACGCUUGAGUCCGAGAGAGGAUGGCGGAAUUCCUAGUGUAGAGGUGAAAUGCGUAGAUAUCUGGAGGAACACCGGUGGCGAAGGCGGCAUCCUGGACCAACACUGACACUGAAAAGCGAAAGCCAGGGGAGCAAACGGG